GAAAGAUCGCUGGAUAUGUUAAAAGCCAGAGACAUGGGAGAGCAUCAUUCUUUUGAGAUUUUAUAACUCAAACCAACUUUGGAGUUGUCUGAUUUGGAGAGUCAUCAUUCUUGGUCUUCCCUCUUAAAGGCCACUGAUGAAGAACAGGCGGUGACUGGAUGAAUGCUGGUCAAAGUAGAGAACAUCCUUUCUCCUAAACUGAUGCAGCAGUGGUUUUAAAGGAGGACGCUGCCCUGGAUGAUGUAGAUGUCACAUACUGUGCUGAUGGAGGUUCUUCAUGACUACAUCAGUUAUGCUAAAGAGAUCAUGAAAGUUGACAGUGAUGCAUGAUCUGUAUUCAUGGACUAUGAAACAAACUGUAAGUGUAUAA